AAGACUAUACUUUCAGGGAUCAUUUCUAUAGUAUGUUACUAGAGAAGCGAGAUCAAAAGUGCUACAAGACAGGUAACUGAGGCACAGAAAAGU
rnacentral:snoRNA from 1 species